rnacentral:tRNA from 1 species
UUCCAUUGGCCUGAAUCAAACAGACAUCAAGUGCUUACUAGACACACGUUUUAUCAUUAAACUACAACGGA